rnacentral:lncRNA from 1 species
UAUAAUGAUUUUUAUUUUUUUCUACGAUAGCUGGUUUAUGGUGUGCUGUCAAUUUUCUACUGUACAGCAAGGCGAUCCAGUUACACAUACAUGUAUACAUUCUUUUUUCUCACAUUAUCAGGCUCCAUCAUAAGUGACCAGACAUAGUUCCCAGUGCUAAUUUCUAUCCUGAUGAAUGGUGUCCCAGUCCUGUAAGCCAAUCACAGUAGAAGGUCAAGAGACAUUUGAUUCUGUUUUCUUUUAUGAUCACCUUGUCCGUUUCAGGUAUCUUAAUUCUAUACCAAACCCAUAACCCAGGCCCGGUUUCACCCCUUAUUGGCUUGGCACCUCUCCUGUGGACAGUGCUAUCAUCUUUGGGAGUCCCAUCUCUAUCUCCCACGCUGUCACCAGGGUCAUCUUCCUAGGACAGCCCUGGUUAUAUCCCUCUUCUGCUCUAAAAGCUUUCUGCAGAAUAAAGCUCAAGCCGCUUGGCUCAGGAAUCAAAGACAUACAUGACCUCCAACUACCUUUCCAGGCCCGCAUACCCCUCCAGAGCCCUGCGACUCUCCUGCAGUCCAGCCAGGUUUGAGAAUUCAUGGUCCCUGAACGAACACCGUUCACUUACCCGUUGUGGUACACUUAGCUCCAUCAUUCACUUUCUCCUCCAUGUCUACUAAUGAAAAUAUGGGCCCUUUUCCAAGACCAGGUCAAAGGAUCCAGCUUCCAGGAAGUCCUCUGUCAUUUCUCUAAUCUUUCCCACCUUUACACCCCCAUAGCCUUUUUCCUGGAAACUCAGAGUGACAUCCACACACUCUGCAGAGCCUUCGCAAUUUAGCCGCUCAUAUUUAUCUCCCACUUAAACUAAUGGCUGCCGCCGGACCUCUUUAUCUUUGUAUAAUUCACGAUUCUAGCAUAGGACGCUAUGCAAAAUGGGCACUUGAUAAAUAUAUUUAGCAUUGGAAAGGCAUUCAGCAUCCUGGAGUUUUCAUCUCUAAUUUGGUUUCUAGUACACAACAUUCAGUGCCCCCAUGGAUUGGCAUCUAACUCCUUCCUUCUCGCCACCCCGGAUUAUCUCUGAAUGUAUUUAAAUCUCAGCAAGCACUUAAUUACUAAAGGCCGAGUGGCCGGCCGAGUGGUCUUAUGAUCAGAAUUAAACUGAUGGGGAAAAAACUCUAGGAUUGGCCACCAGGCUUCACCUCAGUCCAUUCCUGAGUCUGAUCUACUAGUAAUAACCAGUAGCAUUCCUUUGAUGAAGGGAAACCUCACUUUCACUCUGCCGGGGCUUGAUCUGCCCAGUUGGGUGAGCAAAUGAUUCAGAAUUGUGUGCUCUGCUCUGUAACCAUAAAGAGACUUUAUCUCCCAGGAUCUCCACUUGGUAAAUAUCCUCAGCAGGAGGCAAAGAGGAUGAGAGGGCAUUUUGUGCCCACUGCUGGAGUCAACUCUGAUCCCAAAGAUUCACCAACCAUAGGAAAUCUUCUAUUUUUAAGAUCAUGUGCUCUUACAGAUUUUUAUAACCCCCCAGGUUUAAAAAAAAAUACUUCUCAUACAUAGGAAAUAUGCACACAUACUGUUAACCCACUCCAAUGAUUUCCUUUAAUGGUAUCUUCCAAUUAAGCUAAUCUACACGUCACAAGAGGACUUUUAAUGGCUCUCCCAAACUGGAGGGAAUUUUCCAUCUUAAAAAAAAAAAAAAAAAACUUAGCAGGAAAUCUUUCAAUAGAACUGCCCACAUUUCCUAGUUUAAUUAGCCUAAUGAAUAUAUUUAAGUACUCACUAAUUAUUAUCAUGCUUUCAGGAUGUAAUCUGUGCUUUAAAAGACACACACACACACACACACACACACACACACACACAUCUGCUCUUCUUUUAUUUUCAUUCAGUUUGUCUAUGAGAAUCUUUGAUCAAAUGUUGCCUCUCUCCUCCAGGGGAGAAUUAUUUUUUUUUCCUUCAGUGUAAUAAAGUUCUUGUUUCUCUUUUUCUGCUUGUCUGUUCUGCCCAGUAUCAAUGAAAGUGCUUUUCUUUUCUUUUAUUCAUUUUUUGGCUGCACCCACUGCAUGUGCAAAUUUCCAAGCCAGGAAUCGAACCCAAGCCACUGCAUGGCGACACUGGAUCCUUAACCCGCCGAGCCACGAGGAAAUUCCUGGCUUUCUUCUAAAGUGCUUUUCUUUAGUAGAAGUUAAAUCUUUAAUGCCAUCCAGUUUAUUCAUUGCAUCUCAGCAGAGCCACCAUUUUAAAGAGAUGGACUCAUUUCCCUUACAGAGAGAAAGGAUGAAGAGUAAGCAUAGGAGCACCAAGUUAAGAGGUUGCCCAAUAAUUUCUUCUUGGCUCAGUUGGCUCUAAGUUAAUUCUAAAUGUGAAAAGCAAGGUAUAGAAUUAAGUAGGUUGUAUAACUUUAACAAUCCUCUUGAUGAUAGUGUAGGCUAAAUUUAAAUCAAGGGGAUGAAUUAUAAUAUCAGCUAAGGAUGGAGAAAGGUCAGUAAUAGGUUAGAAGCCACCUUUCUUUCCCAUUCCGUGAGCUCUUAAGAUGCCAUUGAUAAUAUGAGAAUAACCAUAGGGACACCCAGCAGGAAGCCUAAAUGAGAGGCUUUCUUCGCCGGCCAAGUCAUAGAACACUGUACCCCCAUCUCAUUCCUUCCUGUAUCACAAUGCUCCUUUUUGUUUGUUUUAAUAUAGAGGAAAUCAAAUAUACCCAACAACAUAUAAGCACUUCCUGCUUUUUUGUUGCCACGUACCUAUGGAAGAUCCUGCUUCCAGUGGCAGAAUAGUGACCAACAACAACAGUAACCCUUUGCAAGACCCAAACUCAGGUAUCUGGCACAACACAGGAGGACCAGGAAGUCAUGAAUGCAGACUUCGGAAGGGAGGAAAAAGCGUCCUAAAGACGAUAUGCCAAAGUGUGACUCCCCGAAGGGCCCAUCUCCUGCUGCCUGCGUUUAUGGGUGCUCAGGAUCUGGUUUCCAGGUCCACAGUGUUAUUGUGCACCCAGUAACCAUAAGGAAUGGCAGCUACAGUCUGAGCAAAGAUUAAAGGACUGCAGAGAAUCAGGAACAUGAAUUACAGGAGAAGGGUCACCUGUGGUCACUAAACAUCGGGAUUAUAUUGAGCAGCCAAGAAUGAGCACCUGCCAUGUAUUAAGUGCUUUCUACAUGUCAUCCCUCACCAUCCAAAUAAUAGGGAGAGAUGACCAUCACUAUCUUAUAGACAAGAACUCAGAGAUGUUGUAUGAUUUGCUCAAAGGCAUAUGGAAAACAGGCAGAGACGUCAGGUUCAAUCUCGUUGAACUGGGGCUCCACUAGGAAGUGGUGAUAAAGCAAUGCAUUCCCUGUCGAGAGCAUUGUUCUGAGUUUAAACGUUUGUUUUCAGGAGCUCCCGUCGAGGCUCAGUGGUUAAUGAAUCUGACUAUCAUCCAUGAGGAUAGAGGUUCAAUCCCUGGCCUCCUCAGUGGGUUAAGCAUCUGGCAUUGCCAUGAGCUGGGGUGUAGGUCACAGACAUAGCUCGGAUCCUGCGUUGCUGUGGCUGUGGUAUAGGCUGGUGGCUACAGCUCCAAUUCAACACCUAGCCUGGGAACCUUCAUGUGCCACGGGUAAGGCCCUCAAAAGCAAAAAA